GGAAUAUUGGGCAAUGGGCGCAAGCCUGACCCAGCGACGCCGCGUGCGGGAGGACGCCUUUCGGGGUGUAAACCGCUGUCAGAGGGGACGAACGGACCAGGGGGGAAUCCCUUCUGGGCUUGACGGUACCCUCACAGGAAGCGCCGGCUAACUCCGUGCCAGCAGCCGCGGUAAGACGGAGGGCGCAAGCGUUGUUCGGAAUCACUGGGCGUAAAGCGCGCGCAGGCGGGCGGGCAAGUCGGAAGUGAAAUCCCGGGGCUCAACUCCGGGGCUGCUCCCGAAACUGCACGUCUGGAGACCGGUAGGGGUGGGUGGAAUUCCCGGUGUAGCGGUGGAAUGCGUAGAUAUCGGGAAGAACACCUGUGGCGAAGGCGGCCCACUGGGCCGGAUCUGACGCUGAGGCGCGAAAGCGUGGGGAGCAAAC
rnacentral:rRNA from 1 species